UGAUACUUCAGUCACGAUGAGUUUAUCGGUGGGAUACCUGUUAUAAUUACAACUUUCAAAAAAAAUCAGGUGAUAUUUAACGAAAAACUAUGGUACCCGGGUAUUAAUUAAAAAUAAUAUUUACAUUAUAUGUAACGACCAACAACAUGAAGAUCGUUCGACGAGCGCACAAGAAAAUUUGGUCUGCCGAAGUGAGUCUUAGAGAUGGGCAAACAUACGAACUUUUGAAUAAUUAAUAUCAUUAGGACAAAACGAAAAAUCAUAAUCAACAUAUAAGAUUUUCCAAAAUGAGCAAAUUGAUAGAAAAAAUUAUUUUUGGUAUUAGGUUCAAAAUAAUAAAAAAAUGCAUUUUGUAUUUUCCAUCAAAAA